AUACGUAGGGGGCGAGCGUUGUCCGGAAUGAUUGGGCGUAAAGGGCGCGUAGGCGGCGCGGUAAGUCUGGAGUGAAAGUCCUGCUUUCAAGGAGGGAAUUGCUUUGGAUACUGCCGCGCUUGAGUGCAGGAGAGGGUAUCGGAAUUCCCGGUGUAGCGGUGAAAUGCGUAGAGAUCGGGAGGAACACCAGUGGCGAAGGCGGGUAACUGGACUGCAACUGACGCUGAGGCGCGAAAGUGUGGGGAGCAAACAGGAUUAGAUACCCUGGUAGUCCACACUGUAGACGAUGAAUGCUAGGUGUAAGAGGUAUCGACCCCUUUUGUGCCGGAGUCAACACAAUAAGCAUUCCGCCUGGGGAGUACGGCCGCAAGGUUGAAACUCAAAUGAAUUGACGGGG
rnacentral:rRNA from 1 species